rnacentral:rRNA from 1 species
AACGAACGCUGGCGGCAUGCCUAACACAUGCAAGUCGAACGAAGCCUUCGGGCUUAGUGGCGCACGGGUGCGUAACGCGUGGGAAUCUGCCCUUGGGUUCGGAAUAACAGUUAGAAAUGACUGCUAAUACCGGAUGAUGUCUUCGGACCAAAGAUUUAUCGCCCAAGGAUGAGCCCGCGUAGGAUUAGGUAGUUGGUGGGGUAAUGGCCCACCAAGCCGACGAUCCUUAGCUGGUCUGAGAGGAUGAUCAGCCACGCUGGGACUGAGACACGGCCCAGACUCCUACGGGAGGCAGCAGUGGGGAAUAUUGGACAAUGGGCGAAAGCCUGAUCCAGCAAUGCCGCGUGAGUGAUGAAGGCCUUAGGGUUGUAAAGCUCUUUUACCAGGGAUGAUAAUGACAGUACCUGGAGAAUAAGCUCCGGCUAGCUCCGUGCCAGCAGCCGCCGUAA